CCCAUCACCACUGCCAUAUCCUAUGAGAAGCAAGUCACAGGUCCUGCCUGAACUCAAGAGGAAGGGAUUAUAAGACUGUGAACACCCAGAGGAGGACCAUGGAGUUACCCAGAAGUCCGUCAACCGCAAAGGCAAUUAAGGUCUCUACCAGAUCAUAGUGAAUGCCUGAGGCCUGAAAAACAUCAACCGCGCUGCGUCAACCACGAAGACAUUUCACAUCACUAAUAGCAUUUCUCCAUCUGAUUGAGGAAUAAACCAAACAAAAUUACGGCACAAAAGAGAGAUGACACUGGUAACCAAACCAAAUUCCAAAAAAUGAAAACUACCAAGAGAAUGCUGAGGAUGAAGUAUAAAGUAUGAUCCAUGUCAACUGCCACCGUGCAACAUUUUGACGUUUCGGAAAACAGUGCCAAAGGGACUCGGGUGGCUCAGUCAGUUGAGCAUUCGACUUCAGCUCGCAGUUCGUGAUCUCACGGUUCAUGGGUUCGAGCCCCACAUUGGGUUCUGUCCUGACAGCUAAGAGCCUGGAGCCUGCUUCGGAUUGUGUCUCCCUCUCUCUCUGCACACCGCCCCCGCCAUGCCCCCGCUCACACUCUGUCUCUCUCUCGCUCAAAAAUAAACAUAAAA